GACGUAGGAGGCGAGCGUUAUCCGGAUUCACUGGGCGUAAAGCGCAUGUAGGCGGUUUGGUAAGUCCGUUGUUAAAGCCCCCGGCUCAACUGGGGGAGGUCAAUGGAGACUCCCAGACUUGAGGGCAACAGAGGCACAUGGAACUCCCGGUGUAGCGGUGGAAUGCGUAGAGAUCGGGAAGAACACCCGUGGCGAAGGCGGUGUGCUGGGUUGCAACUGACGCUGAGGCACGAAAGCGUGGGGAGCAAACAGG
rnacentral:rRNA from 1 species